AGGUAGGAAAGCGGGGUAGAGAAAGGAAAGUGGGGUAGGAAAAGGGAAGAGUUGACACAAGGGUCCCUAGAAAAUCUGGGGACAAAGCUGUUCUCGUUCCUGGACACCAAUGCACUAACCCACACUGUCACCUUGGAGCAGGAGCUGCCAGACACCGUUUCACACUUACCAUGCAAGCAGCAAACUUACCCCAGGCACAGCCAAGCCUUCAAGGGGCAUUUCUUCCGCAGAGCCCUCAGCACCACCCAACACGGGCAUCAUCACUCCUGCCUGGAAAACGAAGCGCAGGGAGAGGCAAAGGGAUGUGACCAUGGCUGGGCGGCAGGCCGGUGGCAGGGACAAGGCCAGAGCCCUACAAACAAGCUCCCCAGCCUGCUGAUAGGCCGCUACAGAGGGAUUAAAUCAGGAAUGAUGCAGGUGAAAUAGAGCUCGAACAGCCACUAGACAAGCUAGCUGAGUUUAACUAGCAUUAAAAAUAAAUAAAUAAUAAUUUUCAAGACACUUCCCCCUAGAAGCAUUAAAAUAAUAGGGCAGAAGCUGCUGCAUGUGGGACAGUAGCUCUCUAGCAGACGGUUUGCUGCAUAGCUAUUUUUGCUUAGCUGUGAUUAACCAAUCUUGCCACAAAAAAACCUAUAUCCUAGACAAAGAUCUGGGCUGGGGGAACUGAAUUCAGCUGCUCAUUAAGGACGCCAGGCGAGAUUCCCAUCCCUCCCCGAGAAGCUGAUCUGCAGAACAAGCUCCUGCCUUGCAGGCUGCAAAGGUGCAAUGGCAAGGCACCGAGCGAGCGGAGAGGAAAGGGUGUCCCCCCCCUCCUGCUGCUCCCCGAAGGUUCAGCCUCCUGCUGCCAGUCUGUCUCAGCUGCUUGUGCAAGUGCUGUCCUGCCAUGAUGCUGUAGCCGUGCCGCGGGGCGGAUGCAGGAGCAUGCUCACUCCAUCACGCAUCCAUCGGAUCAGGGGCGGUGAAGGCUCGGGCCGGUUGGGGCCCAAGAGAAGGUGCUUCUAGAGGGAAGCUGGGCAGCACGCUGUCAGCGGAGAGCAAAAUGGUGGCACCCGACCCUUAGAAAAGCUGCUUCAUUCAGAAAAUUUGGCAUCUGGGGCUAGCUGUAUUUGGGAAGGAAGAUUUACACGGGAGACUGGGAGGUAGUGAUUCAAGCAUCCUUUGGGAAGACCCCUGCCAGAAGAGACAGGGAUGGAGUCACUGGGCAGCCCUACGGAAGACGAGAAUACAUCCUCUCCCCCAAAUACUUUAAACUUUAAUGGGGCACAUCGUAAGCGGAAGACACUUGUUGCACCUGAAAUCAACAUUUCCCUGGACCAGAGUGAAGGCUCCAUUCUCUCCGAUGACUUCCUGGACACACCAGAUGACCUGGACAUUAAUGUGGACGAUAUUGAAACUCCUGAUGAGACAGAUUCCCUCGAAUUCCUGGGGAACGGGAAUGAACUGGAAUGGGAAGAUGACACUCCCGUAGCCACAGCCAAGAACAUGCCUGGGGACAGUGCAGACCUGUUUGGAGAUGGUGGGACAGAAGAUGGGAGCGCCACUAACGGACGGCUCUGGAGGACUGUCAUCAUUGGAGAGCAGGAGCACCGCAUUGACCUCCAGAUGAUCAAACCCUACAUGAGAGUGGUGACACACGGAGGAUACUACGGAGAAGGUCUCAACGCCAUCAUCGUGUUUGCUGCCUGCUACCUCCCAGACAGUAACCUGGCUGAUUACCACUACAUCAUGGAGAAUCUCUUCCUGUAUGUGAUCAGUAGUCUGGAGCUGCUGGUGGCUGAGGACUAUAUGAUCGUGUACCUAAACGGAGCGACGCCCCGGAGGAGGAUGCCCGGCCUUGGCUGGCUGAAGAAGUGCUACCAGAUGAUAGACAGAAGGCUGCGUAAAAACCUCAAAGCAUUGAUAAUCGUUCAUCCUUCAUGGUUCAUCCGGACAGUGCUGGCUAUAUCCAGACCAUUCAUCAGUGUGAAGUUUAUCAAUAAGAUCCAGUAUGUUCACAGCCUGGAGGAACUGGAGCAACUUAUCCCAAUGGAACACGUGCAGAUUCCAGACUGUGUCUUACAAUAUGAAGAAGAGCGGAUCAAGGCCAGGAAAGAAAGGGCAGAAGAGAAACAAGACAUGGCUGAGAAGGAAAGCACCCAAGAGGGGACAGUGCAUAUUUCUGCUGUUCUCUUCCCAGAGAAAAAGGACCUUUGACCAAAAUUACCGAGGUCCACUGGGCCUGUGCCCCCAGCAGAGGAUCAAGAAACCAGUAUGUCAUGAAUUGAAGUAGUGGAAUGAAUGGAGUAGAAGAAGGACGCAGCCUGGCAGUCACCCACGUAAAUGACCUUUUGGUAUAAGACCUUGUCGCCAUCUUAUUCCGAGUUCUGUAAGAUCACGGAGCCUGCCUCCCCUGUCUCCAAGAUGCAAAGUCCUUUAAACUUUUUGAAAGCAUUUUACUUUAAAAAAAAAAAAAGAAAGAAAAAUCAACAAAAAAACCACAAAACAAAACAAGCCAAGAACAGCACUUUUCAGGACAGGUUCCAGUGUGUUUCAAUAACGGUCUGUGGAGAGCUAUUAAGUAGUACAAAUAGAUACCAUGUUCCCUUUUAGUAAGUUAAGAGCAUCCUGUAGUCCAUUAGUCACCAGCCCAGAAAGAGAUAUAUUUUUUGUUUAAAUUAUAAACCCUGCCCCUAACUUGCUGCUGGCCAGCACUGAGACAUUUUGCUUUAAACUGCACACCCAGUUUCCUCCAUACAGACAUUACAACAGCCGUUGCUCCGGGGAUUAAAUAACACAGGCAAUGAAAAGAGUGCAUUUUCGUCCUUUCUAUAGCCAGUAGAUAUUUCUUCCUGAAAAUACCAAGUGUCCACCAGUCUAGGCACCUCUUCCAGCCUGGACUGCCUCAGUUAAUUCAAUGCCUGUUCCUUUUAUUAACUCACACUGAACCAUUCCUACGAGUAAAUGCCAUGGGUUUUUCCUGGUUUGUUCUGUCUCAGUUUGUAAGGCAUUCAGAAUUUGAAAGAGGGUCCCCUAUGGCAUGGCAGCCUCCACAGAACCUUCUUAGGAGCAUCUUCUUAUAUCAACGCACACUCACCAAAAAGGUCUGGUUUUAAGAAGGAGCCUUACGGACAGGAAAGUUUUUCAUGCCUUGUCUUUGUAUUGAUUUCAUGACACCGGACAAUCACUCACUAUUAAUACCUCCUAUUGCGGAGAAAAGCUGCUAAAUGUUUGAAAUUUCCUACUUGCCACCCCUGGGUAACGAGGGCCUCAUCUAUAAUCAUACCUGCCUGGGAAAAACCCCAGUGGAGAACGCUGCAGAUGUGGAGGCAGGACACUGGAUCUGGGUUCAGCUUCUCAGCCAGCCAAGAGAUGCAGACGCGGUAUGGAGACUCUGAAAUUUGUAUUUUGGACUCACGAGGAUUCUGUGAGAAAAGGAGGGAAGAAAAUUUAAGAAACAACUAUCUGCCCAAAAUCAUUUGGAAACUCCCGAUUUCAGCAGAGCCACCUUACAUAAACUGCCUCAAGUGGAUCAGGUAAAACCCCCGGCAGAUAACAGCAUAUGAAGAAUUACCUGCAUAUUUCACCACUUAAGGAAUAUCGCAAGCCUGGCAAGCCAUGGCUAUCUGAAAUCACCACCGCUUCACUCGGGUCUGACAUCCCCUGCAGGACAAUUCUGGCAAAGCAAGAUUUUCCUCAAGAUAGAGAUGUCUCCUCUGUAUAGAUAAAGCUCCUCUUUUUUUUCUUUCAGUGAGUAAAACUGCUACAGGUGAGAUCUUUAUUUCCCUGAAUGCUACAAAAGAGCACCAAAUACGCUUUCUAACUUUACUCCUCAUUUGAGAUAAGUUUUUCUCGAGCACUUCUGUCACGGAUGUAUUUACCGAAGAGACCUUUGCAUGAAAAACAGAGCACUGCAUCCACAGCAUUAACCCUCGAAGCUGAAGAUGGUAAAAACUCCACAUUCUGUCUCACCGGCAUGUUAAUAAUAAGCACGAAGCAAGCAUCGACCUCCACGGCUUUCUAGAAAUGUCAUGAUGAGCCUGUUAUUGGCAAAGUGAAUUCUAAACCACAAGGAAAAAAUAGCACCUCAGGGUUGUUUUUUUUUUUCUGGAGUUAAGGUUUUAUGCCAAUAUCACCGCCCCAGAAAAGGCAUGCUGCCCCCAGCUUCCCAAACAGUCAGCAGACAUCUGUUCCAAGACACAAGCAGCAGUGGGAGAUUUUCAAACAUCAAUGCGUUAACCCGAUCUGCAAAGCUGGGCAUCCUUUUUCACACAUGGUCUGUCAGACGGACCAAACACACCCACAGGAACUAACGAAGGACUCUUCUGAUCAAAUUAAUUUUGGCUCAGAUUAUAAAAAAAUCACAAAUGUCCUUGUAGUAUAUGUGAAUUCACUGUCUCCCAUUGAUAAUAUUUAAACUUAGAUUUUUCCUUUGAGACCCUUUUUAUGCAUUCAGAUAAAAUAUCAUCUGCUGUGCUUUCCACAAAAGGAUGCCAUGCAGUUGGACACUGAAAGGGAAGUUCACAGUUAUAUAAUGAAUAAAAAUGAUAGAAAGUUUAAUAAUGUUUUAAAAGUACAACUAUAGGAACCUUUAAUGGAUCUGUAGUUACCAAACACUUCAGUGAAAAACGUUCACAACAUCAUGGAAAACACUGCUGGUAUGGAACACAUGGAAGAUAAACCUGGAUUAUGUUUAGUCUUGGGACCUGAAGACACAGACUGCUCCCUGAUCCUCAGCAGUGACCAGAAGAAUGUGGGGUUUGGUUUUUUUUGUUGUUUUGGGGUUUUUUCCAAAGAAAAGACACUGUGUCGACAUUUUCAGAAAAACUACAGAAUGAUCAGACCUGAAGAUGAAACUUCAUAUUUUUUUCAAGCAAUUCCUUCAGGGCAAGGUUAAGAGUUCGGCUGUGAAAAGGACAGAUUACCAAUUUCAUUUCAAGAUACAAAGGAAGUCAUUUGUUUGAAUACAAAAGUCAAUUUGUAACUUCUUUGAAACAAUUUUUCAAAAAGUGCACUUUCUGAUAGAGCACUCUAAGAAAUAUGCACUAUAUUUUAAUUUUUAACAAAAUUUUAUGAGUGUAUAAAUUUUAUGUUCCUGGAUGGAUGGAUGUCUAUAUAUCUUUUCAACAUAGAAAAGAACCUGCAACCCAUAAUGGAUACACUAUAGGUAAACGUAAAAAGUGCAUUUUUAUAGCAACAAAAAAACAGUGUCAUUAACUUCUUUCAGACAGUGAUGGUAGACGCUACUUGAAACCAAAGUAGCUACAAAUUCUGUGAUGGAAACACAGAACCACUCAAGUUGGCAGUGUCCCUUUACCAAAUACGGAGCAACAUGUCGCAGUUUGAGGUUGAUAGACCCGUGCAGGCUUCGAACACAACCAGAGCUACGUGCAGCAAGAAACACACCGCCAAAACCGCUGCAUUCACCUUUAGAAGACCAUUACAAAUGGAGAUUCACCUCACAACGGUGAGAGACCGACAGUACAGGCAGCCGACGGAGGUUUGGAAGGCUGCAGAUACAACUGCAUUGGUGGGGAGUUGUCAACCGAUGGCUUUACCCCAAGGACUUACCUUGAGCACAAUUCAAGCGGUGACAAUAGUCCAAACAGAAAUCUGAGGUGGCCAAAGCCAUGUUACAAAGCUCUUUGCCUGUUCCUUAAAGAGAGCUGCUCUCAAAGCCUGUUUGCCAAAGGGUUCACCAGCUGAGCUCUACAUUUCCACUGGAGGCGCAGGUUAUGAGAGAAAUAUGCUAUACCAGCAAAAAAAAAAAUUAAAAAAAAUUAAAAAAAAUGUUGCUAGUGAAAGUGCAUUUACAUUAGAACUUUUGCCAGUAUAUAUACAUAUGUUUAAAAAAUAAAAUGAAAUAAACUACAUCCUUUUAGCAAUACUGCUAUACUGGUCAAUGUUCCAAAUGUACACCUGGCCCUGUUUCUGCCUCAUAAAAACAUCUCGGAAGGAUAAAUAUUUUGACUUAUGAAUGCAGUGUGUUAUAUCAAACAGCAGGUAUUACCAACAACAUUUUUUUGGUUUUGGAUUUUACCAUUCGUGAGAUUUUCUAAUGACGAAUCCACAGAUUGCCACAUUUUAGCUGCAGAAAACUUUAUUUUACACCCACGAUAGGGUAUUCACAGAACCCGUGGUAUUCUUACUCACAGUCUAAUUAAUGGCUGAACUUCAACAUUCACCCAGCAUCAGCCUACAAACAAAAAAAUCAGAUCCCUUCCGGUACGGUCGAUGACAGAUUAGGAAAUACCUUUCCAUCUCUUUGAGGUAGUCACAGGACUUGAUCCAGCCUUCAGAAAUGCAGGCGCUUGUCCCUGCGUUACGCAGCAACCGUCAGAUUCAUACAGUUAACCUACUUCGUUUUGGCACAUUUAGGAAUCCCCCAGAUUUGGGACUGUCCAGUAAUUUUCAUUUUGAUUCACAAGACAGACACAGGAAAUAAAACUGAGAUGCUGCUGUAUAUUCAAGGUGGAUAAUUAAUACAAUUUCUUCUGUACAGUACUGUGUAAAUGUGAGUGGAUAUUUAGAGCAUACCUCAUUGCAAUUUUUCCAUCUAUUUUUCCAAAGAUUAUUUGCUUACAGGCGUGCAUACACACGUAUGAGAAAACCUAAGUGGUAAAGGUUUUAAAAGCAACAGAUCCUCUAUUUUACAUAUCAAGGGACGAAAAAUAAAAAAACAAAAAAGUUAAUGAAAUGCUGGUGGCAAUAAGCUCAGAUUGGCCUGACAGCAGGUGAACCGUACAGGCAAAAUUGCUAUAAAUACAAAAGCACAUGUUUUCUCUUUUGUAUUUCCAUAUUUACUGGCAGUCAAAACUACAGCAUGCUACUGGUAAAGUGAAUUUUAAAAGGUCACCAUGACAAUAUAACAUAAUCUAUCUCAGUUUUUUUUUUUCCUUUGUAGUGGGCCCUUUUAACCCAAACCUACAUGUAAAAAUGUGUGAACUGUCAUUUUUCUAAAGUGUUUGUAAUUAGGUGGUUUAUGCUAGAAGACAUAGAUUGCUGUUAAGUAUGUAUUAUUAUUUUUGCUUUGUAUUAUUCCAUGAGAAUCUGUGGAUAUUCGAUUAAAAUGAGACUAAUCCUUAAGCAAAAAUGCA